ACCACGUGGAAUGUACGAUAAAACACAGUUCGCACGGGUAGAACAAAUCAGCGAGAUGUGAAUCUGAAACACACAGUUAGACUCAUGGUUAUGACGUAACAUUCAUAAUUCAAACGCGUGGGCAGCACGAUUUAAUAAGCUAUGAUUCUCCAAACAUCUGAUAUAAUAGAGAAUGUUCCUAUCAUAACGACACAGCCUGGAGAGAUAGAUCGUGUGUGGACUACGCUAGCGUGUAAUAGCUCGGUGAACUUGUAGAAGUUUGGACAUUUAUGUGGACGCGUGGACAGUGAAAUGUCUAAACGGUUACAGUUAGGACAGAUAACGGAGAUUAUGGUGGUUUAUUUAAAUAUCUAAUUAAUAGAAAAAGUAAGUAAUAAAGCAGGCAAACAGGUGUUGUAAACAGUUAACUAUUACCUGUUUUAUUCAUCGCGAGGCGCACGUCACCCGGCCGUACGUGGAGCAGGGGUUGUGUUUCAUGUUUAUAUAUUUUUAAGCAAAGAUCGGUCAUAUUAAAAAAUAUAUAUGCACGUAGAUACUAAGUACGGAUAUAAGACAGCGCGUGCCGAGCUCGUAUCAGUAGUCGCCCCAGUCAACAGCACGGUAACUUGAUAAUGAACUGAAUGUUUGAGUUAUUCUCGUUAUGAGUGGAGAGGCAUAAUGAACUAUACCACGGAUUUAACCCGAAAUGUGGACAAUUUUACAUCCAGUAGCCUCACCAUGUCUAACACCACCGUGGAGCCAAUCUAUGAUUAUCUGUACCCCUGGAGUAACGAAACCAGCCUACAUUCAGACUGUGCGUGGGUUCUACCGAUACAACAGGCCAUACUUGGGGUGGAGCUAAUUCUAACACUUAUCCUUAACGGAACUGUCAUUCUGUUGAUAAUCAGGAAAGGAAAACAAAAUAAGAUGGCUUUCUUCGUCCUUAACUUGGCUAUUUCAGAUUUCUCGAUGGCAAUCUUUUAUAUUUUACCUUUCUUCAUCACGCGACUGGUGGGACAGUGGUAUGCUGGCUAUGGCCCGUGUAAGAUGUACAUGUACCUUAACCAACUGGCUAUGUAUUCCUCUACCUACAUGCUAGUGUUCAUGAGCGUAGACCGCGUGUACGCCAUAGCCAAGCCUCUAUCUGCCACACGACGAGGACUGACCUACCGCCGGUUACUGGUCGUGUCAGCCUGGGCAGUUGCCGCUUGUGUUGCUGUGAAGGACCUCAUUUAUUCAGACUUGAUGGCGUUUGAUAAUGGUGUGAAACUUUGUGAAACGGAGUAUCCGGAGCCCCUUAUUAAACCCUUUAUCAUGCUGGAGGCUGUAGUUAACGUGUUCGUCCCCGCCCUGAUAGUUACAAUCUGCUAUAGCUGGAUCGUGGCUGUUGUUUCACGGAGAACUAAAUACGCCAUCAACGCAAAGCAGCAAAAAGAAGCGAUCGCCAUGUUUUCGAAAAAUAUUCUUCCAGGGAAUGGUAAAACGGACGGCAAACGUACAGACGUGGUUAGACGAGCUAAAAUACGAAGUACAAAAGUCAUGUUUGCCGUCGUUUCAGUGUUUCUGAUCUGUUGGAGUCCUCAUACCAUCAACUUUUUGUUGACGGUGUAUGGAGUAGUGGAUUUUACCUGCACAACGUUUAUCUUGUUUCCAUUGGCGCCGUUAAACAGUAUGGCGAAUCCUAUAGUGUUUCUAGCCUUCAACUACAAAACCUUGUUUGUACAUAAAAGAAAAGGGAAUGACUUGAACAGAACAAGUAUGAAAACCACUUUUUCUACUUCUACACGUAAUAACACGGAAAGGUCACGUGACUUACUCAUGCCUGCCAACCUUCCUCCACGUGACGCAUGAGCACACAGUGCACGUUAUUUGUAGUGACUAACUACUAAUAUACCAUUAACUACUUAUCAGCUCAGCAGUGUUGUAAGGACAUGUACCUAACGUAAUUCUAUUCGUUGAGUGUGCUUAGGGUUUACGUUUGAACAUUCAUCUAUUGAACAUAAAAUGUAAAUGCAUAUCACUAUGUUUAACAAAACGAAGGCUAACCAAAUCACCAGGACAUAGAGUAUGGAUAUGGCAUAGAGGUGAAGACUAUCUAUUUUCUGAUUCAGGACUAAUCCUGAAAGCUUGAAUCUAGAAUGACUGACUAUUUAUUGAACAUAUGUUAACAAAUUACAUUAAGUCUGAAAAGUAUUUCUCCAAGCUGCUUAAUCGUUAUGUGGUUAUCGAUUUUGAUUGUAAAUGUAUUAUUGGAUUCCAGAUAACAGGAACAAAAAAACCUGCAUGUCUCCUUGUCACUAACAGAUUAAAAUAAAACUUGAUGUGGAAUGUGGAAUAUUUGUAUAUAAAUGCAUUAACUUUUUCAAAAAACUUUUAUACAAGGUAAAUAUAGCUAUCUUAUGAGUAUGCAAUUUAUUGGGUCAAACAAAAAUGUAUUGAGCUAAUUUCCUUAGCUUGUCUAUGACGACUACCGAUAUUGAGACUUCCAAGGGAUUGACAUGUCGUCCGAGUGAGAUAUGACUAUAAAGAGAGAGAAAGAGAAAAAAAACCUUAGGAAGGAUAAGCAUGGCCUACGGGGGAGAGACUCUGAUUAUGAGGCACGACCUCCAAGGUGCAGACAGGAUCUCCGAGGAGGAACACGUCAUCCGAGGGAGGAGAAAAAAUCGAAACAACAGACUAGUGUUGGAAACGAGUUCAAGAGAUGGGGGAUACGGAACUUUUAAUGAACGGACUUGCACUGGUGUUACAUUAGUGUUAAGAAAAUUGGAGUUCAUAUCAGGGGUAAAUGAACUGACAUGUACUGUGCGCCAUGCUGAAGCUGUGAAGGGCGAUAUGUACUGUGAAGUUUCCCCUCUAUCGGUCAGGGCCCUGACCUUGACCUCGUGUAUUUUUUGACGGAAUUCUAGACUGUGUGGAUGCGUUACCGACACGUCCUUUGUGCGUCCCUGGUCGUUAAGUGGUUGGUCAAUCAAAGUCUGUAACUCUGUAAUGUGAGUAGUAGGACGCUGCCACCAUAUGUGCGUGACGACAAUUUAACUAAACUAUACCAGCCUGAUAAAGUGGCUUUUUGCCCAGCCUCAAAUAAACAUGUGUUAAUAUUUGAGACUCGUGCAAUGAGCCAAGGGCUCGAUUUGACAGGCUAUCACUAGCGGUUUAUCAAGGCCUUGCUGGUCCUUGGGUUCAAAAACUGCGUUACGAGGCCAGAUUUGUAAGCAAUUGCGGUGCAUUAAAUCAAAUACUUACAUUUUUGGAAUAAGAUUCGUCAGUUUGGUAUAACAAUAAGGGCUAAUGAAAUUUGUUUUGAACAUUAACAGAAGUUGAAAACUUAUUUAGCGAGCUUUUGUCAAGCAAAGAGUGCAAGUUGCAGGUGUCUCAACUCUAAACCGCUGAAAAAACUAAGCAACAGUGUGCUGAAUCGGUAAAGACCUUAAUAGUGAUGUAUAUAUGUUUCUGAUAAACCCAAGAACUCGACUAAGCCGGUAUUCAUUAAAGAGUCCGACAUAUUUGGUCUGAAUACGCCGCCGAGAGAGCAGUGGCUCAACCAUGUUGAAUUAUACAAAGCGAUAUCCCGAUCCAUUCCAGGAGAGACAAUAGUUGGUAUCCAACGUGUACGUGGUCUGUGGAGAAUAUACACCGACUGUGAAAAGAGUAGAGACGCUCUCCUCACUUCAGGGAUACAUCUUCGAGCAAAAACUAUCCCGAUAUACAACUCUAACCCUUCACGACCGUCGUUAUAUUCUCAGAGAAGGGAUACGGUGAUGACGGUCAGGGUGAAGAAUAUACCGCUUUCCGCUGACGAUGGCCAGAUUCGAAGGAUCUUCACAAUCAGAGACAUAGAGAUUGUAAGUUUCUAUCGAGAGAAACUGAGAGUCGAUGGUAGGCUUACAAACUGCGAGACAGGUGACAGAAUAGCUGUGGUAAACAAAUUCUCACAGCCAUUCGAAAUAUCUAUGGAAAUCGGAAGAUACAGAGCAGUCGUGCUCCACAACGGUCAGAUCAACAGGAAGCUCAAGUGCAACAACUGCCUUGAAGAAGGACACUUAGGCAAGAACUGUCCGAACGAAAUAAAAUGUAGAGAAUGUGCCAGACCUGUGUAGGGGAAGACGUUUCUGAUGAAGACGUUUCAAGCUGCAAUGCUGACUCAGGAGACGAAGAGGAGACAAAAGAAGAUGAAGAGGUGUAUGAGGAAGCAGAGACAAGUAAGGAUGGUGCUGGUACAAAACAGACCAGGUUUCAGCAAAAUACCAGUGAAACCCCAGCCCCAACUUCCAAACAUCCCCAUCCUCGAACCUCCGAAAAAGAACAAACUCAAAAAGGAAAGAAGGACAAGAAAAAGGAUAAACAGAUUACAGACCAGAAAUCCACACUAGACAAUUUCAUAACCGUAUCUACCCCAUCCAGAAAAUCUAGCAAUUUAGCCCCAGAUCUGCGGUCUCCACCAACUCCAGCUGAAGAGCUAGAGUCAGGAUCAAAGGCAAAAAAGAAACAAAGAGACAAGUCAGUAUGAACUCAAAAAACAACUAUAUACCUGUGGAUCAUUAUAGACAGUAUGUUAAGUACUCACUAUUGUUGAUUUAUAUGUAUACAUAUGUCUAUGGACUAAUGAAAAAAAUAAUGAUUUCAA